rnacentral:lncRNA from 1 species
UUUGUUCAAUCCUCCGGUAAGAUGAACACUGCUGGAGAUAUAUUUCUUUGGAAAAGACCCGCUCCACUCGGGGGUAGCAACCUUCAGACCUGACUGCUGAGGAAACACCAUUAUAAACCUGCCAGGUAUAACCACACUGACUCGGCUGGGGAGCUAGUCCUACGAUUCUGCUUGGGGACUUAGCUGGGAAAUAAGAAUUCCCGGACUCAUCCGGACCUUUUCU